GCGAAUGCUGACAUAAGUAACGAUAAAGCGGGUGAAAAGCCCGCUCGCCGGAAGACCAAGGGUUCCUGUCCAACGUUAAUCGGGGCAGGGUGAGUCGACCCCUAAGGCGAGGCCGAAAGGCGUAGUCGAUGGGAAACGGGUUAAUAUUCCCGUACUUGGUGUUACUGCGAAGGGGGGACGGAGAAGGCUAUGUUGGCCGGGCGACGGUUGUCCCGGUUUAAGCGUGUAGGCUGGUUUUCCAGGCAAAUCCGGAAAAUCAAGGCUGAGGCGUGACGACGAGGCACUACGGUGCUGAAGCAACAAAUGCCCUGCUUCCAGGAAAAGCCUCUAAGCAUCAGGUAACAUCAAAUCGUACCCCAAACCGACACAGGUGGUCAGGUAGAGAAUACCAAGGCGCUUGAGAGAACUCGGGUGAAGGAACUAGGCAAAAUGGUGCCGUAACUUCGGGAGAAGGCACGCUGACACGUAGGUGAAGUGAUUUACUCAUGGAGCUGAAGUCAGUCGAAGAUACCAGCUGGCUGCAACUGUUUAUUAAAAACACAGCACUGUGCAAACACGAAAGUGGACGUAUACGGUGUGACGCCUGCCCGGUGCCGGAAGGUUAAUUGAUGGGGUCAGCGCAAGCGAAGCUCCUGAUCGAAGCCCCGGUAAACGGCGGCCGUAACUAUAACGGUCCUAAGGUAGCGAAAUUCCUUGUCGGGUAAGUUCCGACCUGCACGAAUGGCGUAAUGAUGGCCAGGCUGUCUCCACCCGAGACUCAGUGAAAUUGAACUCGCUGUGAAGAUGCAGUGUACCCGCGGCAAGACGGAAAGACCCCGUGAACCUUUACUAUAGCUUGACACUGAACAUUGAGCCUUGAUGUGUAGGAUAGGUGGGAGGCUUUGAAGCGUGGACGCCAGUCUGCGUGGAGCCGACCUUGAAAUACCACCCUUUAAUGUUUGAUGUUCUAACGUGGACCCGUAAUCCGGGUUGCGGACAGUGUCUGGUGGGUAGUUUGACUGGGGCGGUCUCCUCCUAAAGAGUAACGGAGGAGCACGAAGGUUGGCUAAUCCUGGUCGGACAUCAGGAGGUUAGUGCAAUGGCAUAAGCCAGCUUGACUGCGAGCGUGACGGCGCGAGCAGGUGCGAAAGCAGGUCAUAGUGAUCCGGUGGUUCUGAAUGGAAGGGCCAUCGCUCAACGGAUAAAAGGUACUCCGGGGAUAACAGGCUGAUACCGCCCAAGAGUUCAUAUCGACGGCGGUGUUUGGCACCUCGAUGUCGGCUCAUCACAUCCUGGGGCUGAAGUAGGUCCCAAGGGUAUGGCUGUUCGCCAUUUAAAGUGGUACGCGAGCUGGGUUUAGAACGUCGUGAGACAGUUCGGUCCCUAUCUGCCGUGGGCGCUGGAGAACUGAGGGGGGCUGCUCCUAGUACGAGAGGACCGGAGUGGACGCAUCACUGGUGUUCGGGUUGUCAUGCCAAUGGCACUGCCCGGUAGCUAAAUGCGGAAGAGAUAAGUGCUGAAAGCAUCUAAGCACGAAACUUGCCCCGA
rnacentral:rRNA from 1 species